GAUCUGGUGGUGAAUGGUUCACAUCCACCCUCCUUUCGCAGGUACACCAGUAAAAUUAUACAGUGGGAGUCCUGGUUCGAUUCUGGGGCAGGUCA